GACGAACGCUGGCGGCGUGCCUAAUACAUGCAAGUAGAACGCUGAAGGAGGAGCUUGCUCUUCUGGAUGAGUUGCGAACGGGUGAGUAACGCGUAGGUAACCUGCCUGGUAGCGGGGGAUAACUAUUGGAAACGAUAGCUAAUACCGCAUAACAGUAGAUGUUGCAUGACAUUUACUUAAAAGGUGCAAUUGCAUCACUACCAGAUGGACCUGCGUUGUAUUAACUAGUUGGUGGGGUAACGGCUCACCAAGGCGACGAUACAUAGCCGACCUGAGAGGGUGAUCGGCCACACUGGGACUGAGACACGGCCCAGACUCCUACGGGAGGCAGCAGUAGGGAAUCUUCGGCAAUGGACGGAAGUCUGACCGAGCAACGCCGCGUGAGUGAAGAAGGUUUUCGGAUCGUAAAGCUCUGUUGUAAGAGAAGAACGAGUGUGAGAGUGGAAAGUUCACACUGUGACGGUAUCUUACCAGAAAGGGACGGCUAACUACGUG
rnacentral:rRNA from 1 species